ACUCGAUCAAACUUGAGAAAGGCCAAUAGAAACCAACAAACUUGACAGGCCAUCAAACUGGCCAAACAAAAGAACCACCAAGAAAACAAGACAGCAGGCCAAACCACACCCCAUAAGAAACACAAGAAAUAACAACCAUCAAAACCCAGCAAAAGGACAAUAUCAAGCAGCCACCAAGAGACCAGCUGAAGGCAACUGGGCCUAGGCGACUGGAAGAAGACAUGGCACCCAAGAAAAUCUGGAAAAUCCAGAAACAAAUCAACAGAAAACUUGACAAGGAACCAGGGAGAGUUGUAGCAGGAAGAGGGCAAAUGGACAGGAGACAAGCAGCAGCACGGCAAGGUUUCUCCAAAACCCUCAGGCGCAGGCAAGGAGAGGCAGAGAAAACUGACUUUAAUGUGCUGCACCAGCUUAAGAAAAGGCCACGAAAGCACACUUUGGCUGAAGCAGCAUACCAGAAAGCAUCCAAAGCAUCACCUAAAAGUAGUUCCUUGACGGGAAAAUGUAGCCAAAGAGGAAGGUUAAGUGGAUAGCACAUUUUGGCUCUAGUAUCACGUUAAUUUACUAUUUAAUCUAAAGCUUAAGUGGAUAGCUUAAGGUUUAAUAGUUAACAAUCUUAAACUUUCCCCUCUAGGUAAUUUGUACAAAAUUGUCUGAUAUUUCUAUCACUUUUGGUAGGAGUGCUAGGUAAUAAUCUAGGAUUGCAAAUAAUCUCCAUAUCCAUGUAUAGAAUUAGCAUUAAUUCUCUCUGUUGUUUCCUUAAUUAAUUGUCUCAUAAUUUAAAAUCCUUUGGACUAUCACUCGAUUCCUAUUUCGUUACAGCCGGUUCACAAUUGUCAACUUGGUAUAAUUAUGGAGUGCUGUUGUUGCUGCCUUGCACAUUUUUCUUACCACUACCACCACUACUUUUGCCACCUCCAUUACCAUCAGUAUAUUGCAGUCACCAUCAUCACCACCACCUGUUGUGCCUCCAUUGCGAUUGGAGUCUCACAAGAGCUUAUUGUCAUCUCCCACUAUUCUAUGCCAAUGCUUGUCACUGUUUGCUGGCCUUCUACUGCAAGCAUUUUAUUUUCUGUCCUGGACUCAAAUUCAGGACUUUAUCUUAUUUAAGAAAGAAAGGAUGACUCAUGCAAUUUCUAUGCUGUGCAAAUGGCUUAUACCAAAAUUUGCUUCUUCAUCAAUACCAGGGAGGGUCAUUGAUAUUGGUAUUAGUAUAUAUUAGACGAGAUGCAGUCGCAGUUGCAGUCGCGUAUGAUGAUUCCUAUGCAUGGCACACAGUAGAGAUCUGCACCACAUGAGCCAAUUUCUGAACUUAAAUCUCAUUGCAGGUCUUGUUUGGUGCCCUCAUUUUAUAUUAUGUUGCAGGGGCCACCAUUUAUCUUUAUCGUAAUGAACCUUUAAUCUUAUAUGAACCAUUGACAUUAUUUAUUCGUAGAUCAGGACAUCUGUGGUGUCUGCAUUUUCUGGUUCUGAAAAUUUUUCGUUCUGAAAAGAAUGACCAUUUGAAGAAUUUUUUUUUUAUAUCUUGGAAUUACUUUUUUCUGGAAGUUCUGGUCCUGGCAAUUGGAAAGAAACUGUGAUUUAUGCUAUGACAACUGUUAAGUCAACUUGUAGAAUUAAAUUCUCUGAUGAAUAGACAGAUAAGUUUGUGUUAUUUUGAGUU